AAAUUGAAGAGUUUGAUCAUGGCUCAGAUUGAACGCUGGCGGCAGGCCUAACACAUGCAAGUCGAACGGUAACAGGAAGAAGCUUGCUUCUUUGCUAGACGAGUGGCGGACGGGUGAGUAAUGUCUGGGAAACUGCCUGAUGGAGGGGGAUAACUACUGGAAACGGUAGCUAAUACCGCAUAACGUCGCAAGACCAAAGAGGGGGACCUUCGGGCCUCUUGCCAUCGGAUGUGCCCAGAUGGGAUUAGCUUGUUGGUGGGGUAACGGCUCACCAAGGCGACGAUCCCUAGCUGGUCUGAGAGGAUGACCAGCCACACUGGAACUGAGACACGGUCCAGACUCCUACGGGAGGCAGCAGUGGGGAAUAUUGCACAAUGGGCG
rnacentral:rRNA from 1 species